rnacentral:tRNA from 1 species
GGUGGGGUGGCUGAGUUGGUUUAAGGCGGCAGUCUCGAAAACUGCUGAGGGUGUAAGCCCUCCGUGAGUUCGAAUCUCACCCCCACCG